UACGUAGGUGGCAAGCGUUGUUCGGAAUUACUGGGCGUAAAGGGCGCGUAGGCGGUUCGUUAAGUCCUGUGUGAAAUCCCCCGGCUCAACUGGGGAACUGCACAGGAAACUAGCGGGCUUGAGUUCGGGAGAGGGAAGCGGAAUUCCGGGUGUAGCGGUGAAAUGCGUAGAUAUUCGCAAGAACACCAGUGGCGAAGGCGGCUCACUGGCCCGGUACUGACGCUGAGGUGGCGAA
rnacentral:rRNA from 1 species